UACGAAGGGGCUAGCGUUGCUCGGAAUCACUGGGCGUAAAGCGCACGUAGGCGGAUUCUUAAGUCGGUGGUGAAAUCCUGGAGCUCAACUCCAGAACUGCCUUCGAUACUGAGAAGUCUUGAGUCCGGAGAGGUGAGUGGAACUGCGAGUGUAGAGGUGAAAUUCGUAGAUAUCGCAAGAACACCAGUGCGAAGCGGCUCACUGGCCCGGUAUGACGCUGAGGUGCGAAAGCGUGGGUAGCGAACAGG
rnacentral:rRNA from 1 species